CAUUUCAGGAAAGGGAUGGAUUUUACGGUCAGAGAAUGCUAAAAGGUGAGAGGGGGAAGAAAAGCAGGAAUCUGAUCCAGCCGGAGCCCACGAACAGGGUAGGAUGUCCAAGCCGGUAGAGGGGACCUCCGGAGCUGCGGGAAGGACUGCGAGCAAGUGCCUGAGAUCAUCCGCAUCCUAAGGCACCUGGAACGCUGGGAACACGUAACGGACACGCCGGCCCAGUGGCUCCAUCUCAGAGUGACAUUUUCCUGGGCUGCACCUCAUAAAAGCUGGUAACCAGCAAAGAAG
rnacentral:lncRNA from 1 species